GAUCUAUGCAGGAAAACUUAUUUUACUAUGAUAUUGGAAUGCAAUAUAACACAAUAUAAUACAAUCUACUUGAAAUUGAUAAAUCAAAUAAGAUACGAGAGAGAGUUCCUGAGACUGAGUCAAACCUGAAAAGCUUGGAAAGGCGAGGAAAGCACCCUCCAGCAUCCACUGCAAGGCAGUAAGAGACUGUGCACCCGGAAGGCCCAGAUCCCAUGACUUCAGUAAUGUAUAGGGAUAGGUACCUGGAAUUGGAGCAUUAACACUUUAACUCCCAGUGCACUACGUGAUGUUAUGAUGUGGAAUACUGAAAACCAAAAAACACAAAACCUUGACAAGUACACACAACAGCAAAUCAUACAGCUUUACUCCACUGGGAAAUCAAAAACUGUAACUGUAUAAUGUGAAUAGUUAAGCAGUAUACCUAAACACUGUCAUUAGAUCAUGUGGAAUAUAUGCAAUUCUAACUGUUUUCUUUUAUCCUUGAAGUCACUUCUGAUUUUUUUGUUGCUUUGUUUUUUUCUUUUUCGUUCUUUUUUUUUUUUUUGCUACUUAAUUUUUCCCUCUUUAUGCUAGUGAGACAUCAAGGUACAGAAAUCUGUUGGUAGCUCUCAAAUGUUGUGAGUUUAUGUGGUGUUUAUAUUAUGGAACUCCAUUUUCUCAUGUUCUAGGCAUUAUCAAUACACAAAUGUAAUAGAUUAAUAACAAUCUGAUGACAUUUGUUUCCCUCACAUAAAUUUGUGUAUUUCUGUUCAUUCUACUUGGCUCCGUUAAUUAAUUUUAAUGGAAAAUGUGAUGGCAAAAUAUAAAGCCCAGGGCGUGUCAUUCUCUGUGAGAUGACAAUCCUGGGUGUGAUGUCACAGAGGCUGUCUCUUUCACCUUCAUGGCAACGGUGGGAGUGGUGACCCAUUAGCUCGUGGGAGCUACAGGAGGAGGACCAGAGAGAGCAUUGUGUCUGUCUGGAUAUUUCCUGCUGUGAUGGAGCGGCUGAGAGCCCUUCGAGGUCUCUUUGCCUGUGUGGGCUGUGUGCCCAGAUGUACGCGUCGCAGGGGGGAAGGUAGGGUGGCAAGCCCUGUCCCUGUCUCCGCUGUGACUCUGCUGCAGCAGUGCCUGCAAGACCAUGAGGUGAGCUGGGGACAUCCAACCAUGAAUCCUUGCCGUGGCCCAGUGCCACAGUCCUGUGGGUGCCAGGCCGCGGCAGCACACCGGCACAAUGAUGGGUGGCAGGGGGCGGCUCCCCGAGAAC
rnacentral:lncRNA from 1 species